UCUGCCCUGUAGAGGUGCUGUAGGUGUGGCUACUGUGUCACAUGUAUGUCAGUAGGUGGCAGAGAGGAGAGAGGCUAUGUCUAUGCGCAGUGUUCUGACCUGGGAACAUCUGAAUGAUUAGUAGCUUAAUACU
ensembl:snoRNA Gm23908 small nucleolar RNA SNORA17